UCCAGGGCAGGAAGAAAUGUCUGGGUUGAAACAUAAUGAAAAGAAAGAUAUCUACGGACCGAUGUUUUUUGAGUUCUGCUGUCAGGAGCUUGAAUGUGCUGCAUAGACACAAUUUGGUACAUUUUCUUCUUGCCAUUAAAUCUGUACAGGUCUGCAGCUCCCUGAGACACCUCUGCAGUAGCUGUCCGCCUUCAGGGAGCUUGCUAGAAGCGCUUACCCACAUCCUCACUUUUGUCAGCGCCCGCCUUCUUCCUGGCAAUUGCAUUCGGUGGCCACUCAUGGGUGGAAGCGUAUUUUGCAUCCGCUUCAAAGCCCGCCAAUCGCAUUCACCCGACAAAGCUGGUAGACCUCUUGAUAGACAAAUCAGGAGUCUGGUGACAUGUAUAUACAUGAGAGCCCAGAUGCCAUUUCAAGACAUAACUAGACAUCUCCAAGCAGUUUCACUGUUAAACUGCUGAACAGUCCCCUGAAAGAAAUGGCAGAAAUCUGAUAAAGCAUCAACGUUUUAUUUUGCAAUGUUGAGGUCGUUGCUGCGGACUGAAGAAGCUGUUCUUGCUUAGUGACUCUCCCUUCUUCUCAAACAACCAUUUAAUUCAAUCAUCUUAC